rnacentral:piRNA from 1 species
UGCACUACUUGGUCACAGUUUCCACAUACUC